rnacentral:rRNA from 1 species
GCGCAGCAGGCGAGAAUAGUCUACAAUGGACGAAAGUCUGAUAGUGCGACGCCGUGUGUGCGAUUAAUUCCUUCGGGAUGUAAAGCACUUUUCUAUGAGAUAAAAGCUCUUUAGGUUAAUAGCUUAUUGAGACGGAUAUUAUUAUAGGAAUAAGCUCCGGCUAACUCCGUGCCAGCAGCCGCGGUAAUACGGAAGGAGCGAGCGUUGUCCGGAUUUACUAGGCGUAAAGGGCUAGUAGGCGACUAAUUAAGUUAUAUGUUAAAUCCCACGGCUCAACUGUGGUCCUGCAUGUAAUACUGGUUAGAUAGAGUACUGUAGAGGAAGGCAGAAUUCCUGGAGUAGCGGUGGAAUGCGCAGAUAUCAGGAAGAAUACCAAAAGCGAAGGCAGCCUUCUGGGCAGUUACUGACGCUGAAUAGCGAAGGUGUGGGUAGCGAACAGGAUUAGAUACCCGUGUA